AUUGAACGCUGGCGGCAGGCCUAACACAUGCAAGUCGAAUGGUAACAGGAAACAGCUUGCUGUUUCGCUGACGAGUGGCGGACGGGUGAGUAAUGUCUGGGAAACUGCCUGAUGGAGGGGGAUAACUACUGGAAACGGUAGCUAAUACCGCAUAACGUCGCAAGACCAAAGAGGGGGACCUUCGGGCCUCUUGCCAUCAGGUGUGCCCAGCUGGGCUUAGCUAGUAGGUGGGGUAACGGCUCACCUAGGCGACGAUCCCUAGCUGGUCUGAGAGGAGGACCGGCCACACGGGAGCGGAGACACGGUCCAGGCUCCUGCGGGAGGCAGCAGUGGGGAAUAGUGGACAAUGGGCGGAAGCCUGAUGCAACCAGGCCGCGUGUAUGAAGAAGGCCUUCGGGUUGUAAAGUACUUUCAGCGGGGAGGAAGGGAGUAAAGUUAAUACCAUUGCUCAUUGACGUUACCCGCAGAAGAAGCACCGGCUAACUCCGUG
rnacentral:rRNA from 1 species